rnacentral:tRNA from 1 species
GCAUUGGUGGUUCAGUGGUAGAAUGUUCGCCUGCCAUGCAGGCGGCCCGAGUUCGAUUCCCAGCCGAUGCA